GAUGAAGAACGUAGCGAAAUGCGAUAAGUAAUGUGAAUUGCAGAAUUCAGUGAAUCAUCGAAUCUUUGAACGCACAUUGCGCCCGCCAGUAUUCUGGCGGGCAUGCCUGUUCGAGCGUCAUUACAACCCUCAGGCCCCCGGGCCUGGCGUUGGGGAUCGGCGGAAGCCCCCUGUGGGCACACGCCGUCCCUCAAAUACAGUGGCGGUCCCGCCGCAGCUUCCAUUGCGUAGUAGCUAACACCUCGCAACUGGAGAGCGGCGCGGCCAUGCCGUAAAACACCCAACUUCUGAAUGUUGACCUCGAAUCAGGUAGGAAUACCCGCUGAACUUAAGCAUAUUCAAUAAGCGGAGGA
rnacentral:misc_RNA from 1 species